ACGGCUCAGUAACACGUGGAUAACCUGCCCUUGGGACCGGCAUAACCCCGGGAAACCGGGGAUAAUUCCGGAUACUGCAUAUAUGCUGGAAUGCUUUAUGCAUAAAAUGGAUUCGUCUGCCCAAGGAUGGGUCUGCGGCCUAUCAGGUAGUAGUGGGUGUAAUGUACCUACUAGCCGACGACGGGUACGGGUUGUGAGAGCAAGAGCCCGGAGAUGGAUUCUGAGACAUGAAUCCAGGCCCUACGGGGCGCAGCAGGCGCGAAAACUUUACAAUGCGGGAAACCGUGAUAAGGGGACACCGAGUGCCAGCAUCAUAUGCUGGCUGUCCGGGUGUUUAAACUACACCUGUUAGCAAGGGCCGGGCAAGACCGGUGCCAGCCGCCGCGGUAACACCGGCGGCCCGAGUGGUGAUCGUGAUUAUUGGGUCUAAAGGGUCCGUAGCCGGUUUGGUCAGUCCUCCGGGAAAUCUGACGGCUUAACCGUUAGGCUUUCGGGGGAUACUGCCAGGCUUGGAACCGGGAGAGGUAAGAGGUACUACAGGGGUAGGAGUGAAAUCUUGUAAUCCCUGUGGGACCACCUGUGGCGAAGGCGUCUUACCAGAACGGGUUCGACGGUGAGGGACGAAAGCUGGGGGCACGAACCGGAUUAGAUACCCGGGUAGUCCCAGCCGUAAACGAUGCUCGCUAGGUGUCAGGCAUGGCGCGACCGUGUCUGGUGCCGCAGGGAAGCCGUGAAGCGAGCCACCUGGGAAGUACGGCCGCAAGGCUGAAACUUAAAGGAAUUGGCGGGGGAGCAC
rnacentral:rRNA from 1 species